GAUGAACGCUAGCGGCAGGCUUAACACAUGCAAGUCGAGGGGCAGCAGGGGUAGCAAUACUCGCUGGCGACCGGCAAACGGGUGCGGAACACGUACACAAUCUACCUUUAUCUGGGGUAUAGCCCGAAGAAAUUCGGAUUAAUCCCCCAUAAGAUAUUAGAGUGGCAUCACUUAGAUAUUAAAACUCCGGUGGAUAAAGAUGAGUGUGCGUCCCAUUAGCUAGUUGGUAGGGUAACGGCCUACCAAGGCAACGAUGGGUAGCUGGUGUGAGAGCACGACCAGCCACACGGGCACUGAGACACGGGCCCGACUCCUACGGGAGGCAGCAGUGAGGAAUAUUGGUCAAUGGACGCAAGUCUGAACCAGCCAUGCCGCGUGAAGGAUGAAGGCCUUCUGGGUUGUAAACUUCUUUUAUUGGGGAAGAAAAUUACGGUUUCUACUGUAACCGACGGUACCCAAGGAAUAAGCACCGGCUAACUCCGUGCCAGCCGCCGCCGUAAGAC
rnacentral:rRNA from 1 species